UACGGAGGGAGCUAGCGUUGUUCGGAAUUACUGGGCGUAAAGCGCACGUAGGCGGCUUUGUAAGUUAGAGGUGAAAGCCCGGGGCUCAACUCCGGAAUUGCCUUUAAGACUGCAUCGCUUGAAUCCGGGAGAGGUGAGUGGAAUUCCGAGUGUAGAGGUGAAAUUCGUAGAUAUUCGGAAGAACACCAGUGGCGAAGGCGGCUCACUGGACCGGUAUUGACGCUGAGGUGCGAAAGCGUGGGGAGCAAACAGG
rnacentral:rRNA from 1 species